ensembl:lncRNA
UAAUAGACAGGUAUAUAGCCCCUGGGUUAAUAGACAGGUAUAUAGGCCCUGGGUUAAUAGACAGGUAUAUAGCCCUUGGGUUAAUAGACAUGUAUAUAGCCCCUGAGUUAAUAGACAGGGAUAUAGCCCCUUGGUUAAUAGACAGGUAUAUAGGCCCUGGGUUAAUAGACAGGUAUAUAGCCCCUGGGUUAAUAGACAGGUAUAUAGCCCCUGAGUUAAUAGACAGGUACAUAGCCCCUGGGUUAAUAGACAGGUAUAUAGGCCCUGGGUUAAUAGACAGGUAUAUAGCCCCUGGGUUAAUAGACAGGUACAGUGCCUUGCGAAAGUAUUCGGCCCCCUUGAACUUUGCCUCCUUUUGCCACAUUUCAGGCUUCAAACAUAAAGAUAUAAAACUGUAUUUUUUUGUGAAGAAUCAACAACAAGUGGGACACAAUCAUGGAACGACAUUUAUUGGAUAUUUUAAACUUUCAUAAGAGAGAUGUGUUUUGGAGUUGACAUCAAAGAGAGAUGUGUUUUGGAGUUGACAUCAAAGAGAGAUGUGUUUUGGAGUUGACAUCAAAGAGAGAUGUGUUUUGGAGUUGACAUCAAAGAGAGAUGUGUUUUGGAGUUGACA